rnacentral:rRNA from 1 species
AACGAACGCUGGCGGCAGGCUUAACACACGCAAGUCGAACGCCCCGCAAGGGGAGUGGCAGACGGGUGAGUAACGCGUGGGAAUCUACCCAGUUCUACGGAACAACUGAGGGAAACUUCAGCUAAUACCGUAUACGCCCUACGGGGGAAAGAUUUAUCGGAAUUGGAUGAGCCCGCGUAAGAUUAGCUAGUUGGUGGGGUAAAGGCCUACCAAGGCGACGAUCUUUAGCUGGUCUGAGAGGAUGAUCAGCCACACUGGGACUGAGACACGGCCCAGACUCCUACGGGAGGCAGCAGUGGGGAAUAUUGGACAAUGGGCGCAAGCCUGAUCCAGCCAUGCCGCGUGAGUGAUGAAGGCCUUAGGGUUGUAAAGCUCUUUCAGUGGGGACGAUAAUGACGGUACCCACAGAAGAAGCCCCGGCUAACUUCGUGCCAGCAGCCGCGGUAA